GACGAACGCUGGCGGCGUGCUUAACACAUGCAAGUCGAACGGUAAGGCCCUUCGGGGUACACGAGUGGCGAACGGGUGAGUAACACGUGGGUGAUCUGCCCUGCACUUCGGGAUAAGCCUGGGAUACUGGGUCUAAUACCGGAUAGGACUCCGGACUGCAUGGUCUGGGGUGGAAAGCUUUUGCGGUGUGGGAUGGGCCCGCGGCCUAUCAGCUUGUUGGUGGGGUGAUGGCCUACCAAGGCGACGACGGGUAGCCGGCCUGGGAGGGUGACCGGCCACACUGGGACUGAGAUACGGCCCAGACUCCUACGGGAGGCAGCAGUGGGGAAUAUUGCACAAUGGGCGCAAGCCUGAUGCAGCGACGCCGCGUGAGGGAUGACGGCCUUCGGGUUGUAAACCUCUUUCAGCAUCGACGAAGCGAAAGUGACGGUAGGUGCAGAAGAAGGACCGGCCAACUACAUGCCAGCAGCCGCCGUAA
rnacentral:rRNA from 1 species